CAAAGUCAUAAUUAUGAGAUUCAAAGUCAUAAUUAUGAGAUACCGGAGCAGUUGGAGACAAUUCUCCGUAGAAUAACAGCGUGCUCCAACUCCCAGUUAAAUAUGACCUUAAAUCCAAGGUCCAACCUUUGCUACUGCGUUAAGAGUCAGUAAAAGGAUACCUACAAGAGACAGAGGAGGUUCCUUUCACCUGAACCUAAACCUAAACAGAGAACCACAUACCAUUCUGGAGGAUGUAGGCACAGUCAAGGCUUCUCAACUAGGCCUGUCGCGAUAAACGGUAAGUCAAGAAAUUGAACGAUAAAUGAAAACUAUCGACGUCAUUUCAUUUAUCGGCUAUCGUCUCUGCCUGUAUUUUUCUCUUUCUAUUGAUGACGCUGGAUGAGAAGCCUCAACUCUGGUGCUAUCCACUGACCCCUCCCUUCCUAAAAAAUGAGGAGGGAGGAUUAGUGGACUAUUGCAUCAGGUAGUA